CCUACGGGUGGCAGCAGUGGGGAAUAUUGCACAAUGGGGGAAACCCUGAUGCAGCAACGCCGCGUGAGUGAGGAAGUAUUUCGGUAUGUAAAGCUCUAUCAGCAGGGAAUAGAAAAGAAGGUACCUGAAAAAGAAGCCCCGGCUAACUACGUGCCAGCAGCCGCGGUAAUACGUAGGUGGCAAGCGUUGUCCGGAUUUACUGGGUGUAAAGGGCGUGCAGCCGGGAAGACAAGUCAGAUGUGAAAUCCCGCGGCUCAACCGCGGAACUGCAUUUGAAACUGUUUUUCUUGAGUAUCGGAGAGGUAAUCGGAAUUCCUAGUGUAGCGGUGAAAUGCGUAGAUAUUAGGAAGAACACCAGUGGCGAAGGCGGAUUACUGGACGACAACUGACGGUGAGGCGCGAAAGCGUGGGGAGCAAACAGGAUUAGAUACCCUUGUAGUC
rnacentral:rRNA from 1 species